GAGUUUGAUCCUGGCUCAGGACGAACGCUGGCGGCGUGCUUAACACAUGCAAGUCGAACGGAAAGGUCUCUUCGGAGAUACUCGAGUGGCGAACGGGUGAGUAACACGUGGGUAAUCUGCCCUGCACUUCGGGAUAAGCCUGGGAAACUGGGUCUAAUACCGAAUAGGACCACUUGGCGCAUGCCUUGUGGUGGAAAGCUUUUGCGGUGUGGGAUGGGCCCGCGGCCUAUCAGCUUGUUGGUGGGGUGAUGGCCUACCAAGGCGACGACGGGUAGCCGGCCUGAGAGGGUGCCCGGCCACACUGGGACUGAGAUACGGCCCAGACUCCUACGGGAGGCA
rnacentral:rRNA from 1 species